rnacentral:lncRNA from 1 species
NNNNNNNNNNNNNNNNNNNNNNNNNNNNNNNNNNNNNNNNNNNNNNNNNNNNNNNNNUACCACCCUGGCGAGGUGCUGCGGCCGCCCUCGCUGCUCUCCCUGCAGCCAUCCUACUACUACCCCUACUACUGCCUUCCCGGGUGGGCUCUGUCCACCUGCGCCGCAGCUGCCGGCACGCAGUGAGAGGCACACACACACAAUCCCCGGCCCCGACACCCCCAGCAUACACACUGGCAGCCAGGAAACCCAUCUUCCCUCUGCCACCCCCCCACCCAUCAAUCCGUCCGCUCCGCUUCUCAAGUCCAGAGCCCCAGCUGCAGCUCUCAGUGCCUCGGACAGUAUUUAUUAUUAUUUUAUUGUUAUUUUUAUUAUUAAUAUUUUUGGAUGGUUUCUCACCCUCUCCUCUUUCAACGUAGGACUUCUUGGCCACCCCCACCCUGACCCUCACCCUGUCCCCAUCCCGCCAGCCGAGGACUCUCGCGAUUCGGCACAACUUGUUCAUGGUAUCCAUGUUGUCAGUGUAUUCGGUGUAGACUUUUUGUUUGUUUGUUUUAUUUUGCUUCGGAUGGGUAGAGACUCGAUCUUGUGUGGAGAAAAAGAGAAAGAAAACAAAGGAGAGGAAAAAAAAAUACAACCCGCAAAACCAAUUGCAACUCAAAAGAGGAGAUCAAGGACUCCCUCAGUGGAUUGUAAGGAAGAUUAUUUUUGUCGUCUGAGUCCUUGGUCUUCCAACUUGUUGCAAACUGAGUGUGCCUUGUAUGGUGCUGAAUGUAUGGAAGCCUCUUUCAGGUCCCCCUGCUCUUGUUGCCCAUGUUAUUCCUGUACUCCAUGAUCCCUGGCAAAGGAUAAAUAUGUCACAAAAGGGUGAGACUUAUAUCGAAACUCUGACUUCUUGUUUUCCUUUUUUUCCUGAGAUCUUUCCGUGUUCGGGGAGGGAGGAGUUACGGAUUUUUCGCACUUUCCAGAUGUAUUAAAGUUGUUAUUUUUAUAUUCAAUGUGAAUAUUUCUAGUCAGGCUUUUUAAGAAAUCGAUGUAACAGGAAACUUUAAUACCGUCAGUGCCUUUUACAAUUCUUCUGCAGAGCUCUCCUCCAGGGGUGGGGGUUUCUGAUCUGCUCAGCAAUGUAAUUACAGUCUCUUUCUUCCAAGAUAACUCGUUGCUUUUUUUUUUCUUCUUUUUUUUCCCCCUCUAUUUCCCUUUUAAUGGCACUGUGC